GACAGAGGAUGCAAGCGUUAUCCGGAAUUAUUGGGCGUAAAGCGUCUGUAGGUGGCUUUUUAAGUCCGCCGUCAAAUCCCAGGGCUCAACUCUGGACAGGCGGUGGAAACUACCAAGCUGGAGUACGGUAGGGGCAGAGGGAAUUUCCGGUGGAGCGGUGAAAUGCGUAGAGAUCGGAAAGAACACCAACGGCGAAAGCAGGCAGCUGGGGAUGCACCGACGCUGAGACACGAAAGCCAGGGGAGCGAACGGG
rnacentral:rRNA from 1 species